CCUUCCGCGCCUCCCAAAACAACGUCGUUUUGGGAGGCGCGGGACGCACAGUGCUGCGCGCGUCGUGUUGCAGGGUAUAACGAUUGUAAUUAUAGUUAGAG